UUUAUUUUCAUGUGCUCGUGCUAUGUGGGAUGCUCCUCUGGGGCUGAGAUUUUAGUUUUAAAAUUUCUGUCUGUGAGAAAAAAUAGGGAGAUAUAAUAGAAAGCACUAAAAAUGGGUCAUGUAGUUCUAAAACUGCUGUUUGAAUCUGAGGAAGAAAAUAGUUUCUGCACUUAUAAAAAACUUUUUUUUUUUUUUUUAAUGGAUGUAACAAGAAAUAAUGAGAGAUGAAUUUCUGGGACCUCCUAGAGGUUACAUCCACACAUGGACCACAGCAAGUGAAGCCCAGUGCCUGAUGUCUCACCCUCCCUGGGUUCUGUGCCAGCUCCUGAGACCAAAGUCUUGGCACAUUGCAUAUCUUCACGUGGAUGUAAAAAAGCCCUCAGGACUCAAAUCAUGAGAGUCAUUUCCUGAAUUCAUUUAAAUGAACCAUUCCAUCAGACCCUGACAUCCUCUCUGCAAUCUUUUCGAUUGAUGCAAGUUCCCAACUUUGUUUCCAGGAACCUGGGGCUUUUCCUGUAUGGCUGAGGAAGAAGCUACCGUCAUGGCAGGCAAGGCAAGAACGGCGGUGAAUGUCUGGCCUGAAAGCUGUACUCGUUACCCUUGGUCUUCAGCAGGAAAAGGAAUUGUUUUGUCUGUCUACUCUGUGAAGAGAGCUUACUAGCACUUAAUAUGAACUCAGAACUGCGCCCCUAGGCAGCAGAGAAUCUGGAAAGCAUGAAAGCUAACACUUAAGGCAGGAUCACAAACAUCCUGGGGGACAAGGGGAGGAAAAUGCCCCUCGAAAGCACUUUAACACCUUCCCUGAAAUGGGACAGCACUGCAAAGAGCCGCUGCUCUCAGCAGCCAGGCCAACAGGGAGCGUAGGGGAGGAGUUCCAUCAGUCACCUCACAGCCUGGUGCCUGCUGAGGGAUCGCCCCUUUGACUGCCCCAGCCUCUUCCCGGGAGCACCUCUUACUGCUGAGCUAGAAAUGGAAGGGGGAAGAGGGCUGUCGCCCCAAUUACCCUCUCAUCUAGAUGAAGGUGUGAUUAGAUGUGAGGUUUGCCCUUACGGUGGGUCUGUGGUGCUUGAGACCCAAACUGAGCUCAAACCCACUCCCUGCCCAGACCUGUUUGUGCAGCCGGGGCCACCACCACGCCUUCUCUGAGGACACACAGUGCGGCUGCUGGGCAGGCAGCAGCAGUGCCACGUUUUGUGCCGUUUCCUAACGCUGGGAUCGGCAGGAAGCAGCAUCCAAAGGGCAUUCAAAGGCCUCUCAUCAGACAGUGCCUUGCUCCAGGCUCAUUGGGGUUUUUGAGUGGAGAAAUUUCCCGUCUCUCCUGGACUAAAAGAAGAGAAAAGGACUAUCAGGCCUAUAUGGCCAAGGAGCACUUACAGAAUAGGACACAAUGCCAGAGCUUCAUGUUUUGGGCCUUCACCUGGCUGUUAGCAAAACUGAGAGUAAACAGAUCUGUUGAAAUACUGCAGCAUCUCCUGGCAAUUGCUGCAGACGUUUCAAACCCACACAAGGGGCAUAGGUUAUCUUUUUCAUGCUGUUAGACCCAGGCCAUCAAAGGUGAUUCUAGUGAGUGUAAGAUACCAAAACAUCUCCAGGACCCUGUGACUUAUUAGCUUUCAAAGAAAAACAGGUUAUCAGUCUGAUUUCUGGGGGUGUGUUAGCACUGGUAGCAACAUGGGGAAACCUAAGUGGCAUUCUGACAAGAUACCCUUGGGUCUCCAGGCCUGGUAAAACCAUGGCAGCCUAAUAAAUGGGAUAUUGUGAAACUCUAUUAGGUGUCGCUCUCCUUCUUCAGGAAAGAUCCCCUGGAGUGUUACAAUGCCCUUAAAAAUCAGUGGUGGUUCAAUGGCUGAAUACCUGCAGAAAUCUGGCCUCCACCUUUCUCAGAAAUUUUCCCUAUGAUUUAUGCCAUUGAGGUGUAGCCUCUGACAAUAAGAGUAGAAGCCUAAAUAUUUUACUCAGAGGACUCAGAGAGCCUUUUUCAUACCUGAGUUUGAGGCUGGCAUUCAGUUAAUGUUGAUGUAAUGUCUUUUUUAAAAAGACUGUAAUUAAAUUUACCAACACAGUCACCAAAGAGCCAUUUAUAAAUUGUAUAUAUAGUUGCAAUUCAGCAUCUGUUGUGACUAUUUCAUUGGGUUAGUCCUAACAUCACAAGCUAAUAAUACUUAAAACAGGGAUAUGGGUAAUUCACAAAGGACACUGUACUCUCUAUAUAGCUAACAGUGAUUAAGUAGUCUCUGCUUUCAGAAGAAAGAUAAGGGCAAAAAAGAAUAGGUCCCUCGAUAAUAUCAGGUAAUUCUUAUAUAUAGUCCGUCA